CCGAGCAACCGAAGCUGCCUUAGCUGAGCUGUUUCAAGGUCUUCUGUUCGAUGGAUACAUAUGGUGGCUUGGGGCCAGGGAAAGAUGGUGGGCGCUUACCACAACCUCUUUGCCUGAAGAUUGAUCAGGAAAGGCCACAACACAUUCAAGUCUAAACUCCAAAGGUGCUGGCUAAUCUCCUUCCCAGCCCUAAAAUCAUGAGUAAGGGAUCCCUUGGAAGCUCUUCAUCUUGGAAUGGAAACAAUAUUCAAUGGUAGCCCUGGGCAACCUAGAAUUCUCUAUAUGACCUUGGACUCCUUAUCUUCUUGUCUCCCUCCCCCCUCCUGUGGAUUACAAACGUGAGUUACUAAGUCCUGCUCCUCUGGGCUUUGCGCAUGCUAGACGAGUGGUCUACCAUCUGAGCCACAUAUACCCUCCCACAACCCAAUUGAGUUGUAGAUGCAUUUGAUUUGCCUUGGACUUUCUUAGAUGCUGAGGAGA